AUUGAACGCUGGCGGCAGGCCUAACACAUGCAAGUCGAGCGGAUGAAGGGAGCUUGCUCCUGGAUUCAGCGGCGGACGGGUGAGUAAUGCCUAGGAAUCUGCCUGGUAGUGGGGGAUAACGUCCGGAAACGGGCGCUAAUACCGCAUACGUCCUGAGGGAGAAAGUGGGGGAUCUUCGGACCUCACGCUAUCAGAGGAGCCUAGGUCGGAUUAGCUAGUUGGUGGGGUAAAGGCCUACCAAGGCGACGAUCCGUAACUGGUCUGAGAGGAUGAUCAGUCACACUGGAACUGAGACACGGUCCAGACUCCUACGGGAGGCAGCAGUGGGGAAUAUUGGACAAUGGGCGAAAGCCUGAUCCAGCCAUGCCGCGUGUGUGAAGAAGGUCUUCGGAUUGUAAAGCACUUUAAGUUGGGAGAAAGGGCAGUAAGUUAAUACCUUGCUGUUUUGACGUUACCAACAGAAUAAGCACCGGCUAACUUCGUG
rnacentral:rRNA from 1 species